rnacentral:rRNA from 1 species
GACGAACGCUGGCGGCGUGCCUAAUACAUGCAAGUUGAGCGCUGAAGGUUGGUACCUGUACCGACUGGAUGAGCAGCGAACGGGUGAGUAACGCGUGGGGAAUCUGCCUUUGAGCGGGGGACAACAUUUGGAAACGAAUGCUAAUACCGCAUAAAAACUUUAAACACAAGUUUUAAGUUUGAAAGAUGCAAUUGCAUCACUCAAAGAUGAUCCCGCGUUGUAUUAGCUAGUUGGUGAGGUAAAGGCUCACCAAGGCGAUGAUACAUAGCCGACCUGGGAGGGUGAUCGGCCACAUUGGGACUGAGACACGGCCCAAACUCCUACGGGAGGCAGCAGUAGGGAAUCUUCGGCAAUGGACGAAAGUCUGACCGAGCAACGCCGCGUGAGUGAAGAAGGUUUUCGGAUCGUAAAACUCUGUUGGUAGAGAAGAACGUUGGUGAGAGUGGAAAGCUCAUCAAGUGACGGUAACUACCCAGAAAGGGACGGCUAACUACGUGCCAGCCGCCGCUGUAA